rnacentral:rRNA from 1 species
AUGAAUAAGGAAGAUAGUGUUAAAUGGAUGCAAAGGCGUGUUGAGGAGUAUCGUUCAGGAAAGAACGAUAUGCAUGAAGCUAUUGAGGAUUUCGAUGACAUGGAGAAGCUUGGACAAGGAUUCUCAUCGGCUGACCCACUUGAGGAAGUUGAUAUUGGUGAUGGAAGUGUCCCCGGACCUACAUUUAUUAAUGCUAAUAUGGGGGCCGAUCAGAGAGGAAAGGUAUGUGCAUUACUUAGGGAAUUUGUUGAUUGCUUUGCUUGGAAUUAUACUGAGAUGCCCGGUUUGAGUAGGGACUUGGUUGAACAUAGAUUGCCUAUUAAAUCUGGUUUUAGGCCGCAUAAACAGCCCCUUAGGCGAUUCAAUCCUAGUAUAUAUGACCGCAUCAAAGAUGAAAUUGACCGGUUGUUAAAAGCUCAGUUUAUUCGGCCGUGUAGAUAUGUGGAAUGGAUUUCUAAUAUUGUUCCUGUUGAAAAGAAAAAUACUGAUAAGAUUAGAGCAUGUAUUGAUUUUAGGGAUUUGAAUAAGGCUACCCCUAAAGGUAAAUAUCCUAUGCCUAUAGCCGACAUGUUGAUUAACGAUGCUUCUGGACAUAAAGUAAUCAGUUUUUUAGAUGAUAAUGCUGGUUAUAAUCAGAUAUUUAUGGCAGAAGAAGAUAUGUUUAAGACUGCUUUUCGAUGCCCUGGUUUUGUUGGUUUAUUUGAGUGGACUGUUAUGACUUUUGGAUUGAAGAAUGCCGGAGCUACAUACCAGCGUGCUAUGAAUCUGAUUUUUCAUGAUCUUCUAGGCAUCGUAUUAGAAAUAUAUAUUGAUGAUGUAGUUGUUAAAUUGGAUGGGUUUGAUCACCAUUCAGCCGAUUUGUGA